AGAGUUUGAUCCUGGCUCAGGAUGAACGCUGGCGGCAUGCCUAAUACAUGCAAGUCGAACGAGAGACCUUCGGGUCUCUAGUGGCGAACGGGUGAGUAACACGUAGGGAACCUGCCCGCGCACCGGGAAUACGCUCUGGAAACGGAGAACAAAUCCCGAUGUACAGGAAGGAGGCAUCUUCUUUCUGUGAAACAUCCUUUAGGGGAUGGGGCGCGGAUGGACCUGCGGUGCAUUAGUUUGUUGGCGGGGUAAAGGCCCACCAAGACGAUGAUGCAUAGCCGGCCUGAGAGGGCGGACGGCCACAUUGGGACUGAGACACGGCCCAGACUCCUGCGGGAGGCAGCAGUAGGGAAUUUUCGUCAAUGGGCGCAAGCCUGAACGAGCGAUGCCGCGUGAGUGAAGAAGGCCUUCGGGUCGUAAAGCUCUGUUGCGGGGGAAAAAAGGCAGCAUCAGGAAAUGGGUGCUGACUGAUGGUGCCCCGCCAGAAAGUCACGGCUAACUACGUGCCAGCAGCCGCGGUAAUACGUAGGUGGCGAGCGUUAUCCGGAAUGAUUGGGCGUAAAGGGUGCGCAGGCGGUCCUGCAAGUCUGGAGUGAAACGCAUGAGCUCAACUCAUGCAUGGCUUUGGAAACUGGAGGACUGGAGAGCAGGAGAGGGCGGUGGAACUCCAUGUGUAGCGGUAAAAUGCGUAGAUAUAUGGAAGAACACCAGUGGCGAAGGCGGCCGCCUGGCCUGUUGCUGACGCUGAGGCACGAAAGCGUGGGGAGCAAAUAGGAUUAGAUACCCUAGUAGUCCACGCCGUAAACGAUGAGGACCAAGUGUUGGGGGUGAAACCUCAGUGCUGAAGUUAACGCAGUGAGUCCUCCGCCUGGGGAGUAUGCACGCAAGUGUGAAACUCAAAGGAAUUGACGGGGGCCCGCACAAGCGGUGGAGCAUGUGGUUUAAUUCGAAGCAACGCGAAGAACCUUACCAAGUCUUGACAUCCCGUUGACGAGUGAGUAACGUCACUUUCCCUUCGGGGCAAUGGAGACAGGUGGUGCAUGGUUGUCGUCAGCUCGUGUCGUGAGAUGUUGGGUUAAGUCCCGCAACGAGCGCAACCCCUAUUCUUAGUAGCCAGCGAGUAAAGUCGGGCACUCUAAGGAGACUGCCGGGGACAACCCGGAGGAAGGUGGGGAUGACGUCAAAUCAUCAUGCCCCUUAUGAUUUGGGCUACACACGUGCUACAAUGGCGUAAACAAAGGGAAGCGAGCCUGUGAAGGUAAGCGAAACUCAGAAAUAACGUCUCAGUUCGGAUUGUAGUCUGCAACUCGACUACAUGAAGCUGGAAUCGCUAGUAAUCGCGGAUCAGAAUGCCGCGGUGAAUACGUUCCCGGGUCUUGCACUCACCGCCCGUCAA
rnacentral:rRNA from 1 species